UAAAAAUCUGGAUAACGAUUAACAAACACCUUCUUCUAACGACCUUGUCACCUCUCCUCGAUUCAUCCUAUGACGAUGAAACAUUGAAACCCAAUUCCACAAACCUUAAACCAAAUCCUUAAAUCCACAAAAUAAAAUGGCUUUAAGAAGUUCCUUUACCUUUCCACGCUCUACUUUCUUCCACCAACACUCUCAAUCCACCUAUGCUUCUUCCAGAUUCUUCGUCUCAAUCUUGCUCCCCAAACCCACUUCACUCACCUGCAUUCACGAAUCCCACAAAGAUAUGCACUUGGCACCAUCUUUUACCAAGAGGAACCUCAACUUCACUCUUCUUCUCACAAUGUUUCUGUGGGCUCAGCCUGUGCCGUUGCCAAAUAUGGGUGAUGCACUCUUAUUGGCUCAAGAAUUGGAGCUUCAGAGAUACACUGAUUCCAAUCAAGGUUUCACUCUUCUUACACCCUCUUCUUGGGCUAAGGUUGAUAAAGCAGGGGCAACUGUGUUGUUUGAAGAGCAAAAUAUGGGAAGUAACAAUAUUGGGGUUGUUGUAAGCCCAGUUCGUCUUAAGUCUCUUGAAGAGUUCGGGACACCUCAGUUCGUUGCUGAUAAGCUCUUACAAGCCGAAAAACGUAAGGAAAGUACAAAGGAGGCUGAAUUGAUUACAGUAGCAGAAAGAUCAGGAGAGGGAGGGUUGCAAAUUUAUGAAUUUGAAUACAAGGUGGAUAGUACUCGUGGAGGGAUGAAGAGGAUAUUUUCUGCAGCAUUUGUGGCCUCAAAGAAGCUCUAUCUUCUAAACAUUGCUCACUCUGAUAAACCAGAGAGUCCUCUUGACCCGCAUAAGAGAAUAAUUUUAGAGCAAGUACUCCAUUCCUUUGAUGCAGCAGCUUAAACUGUGGCGUGCCGAUUCCAAAUUGAUUUACUAAGUGGAUGCUCGUACGUGAUUAAUAUUUAAGUUGAUCUAAGUUUAAUGGAUCGAUUGGAAUAUUUUGUCGAAACCCAAAUUGUCGCAUUACCCGAUCAACUUGAUGGAAUUCUACUGUGGCAAAACAGAUCAAAGGAACUACAGCCCGACUAACAGGAGAAACUUCAACAUUAGUCACAACAUUAAUCAAGGGAGAGACAUCGUCCUUGCGGUAAGGAGUCCACAAAAACUGUAAAAAUUAUCAUUAGUAUGAG